CACAUGCAAGUCGAGGGGCAGCAUGGUCUUAGCUUGCUAAGGCUGAUGGCGACCGGCGCACGGGUGAGUAACACGUAUCCAACCUGCCGUCUACUCUUGGCCAGCCUUCUGAAAGGAAGAUUAAUCCAGGAUGGCAUCAUGAGUUCACAUGUCCGCAUGAUUAAAGGUAUUUUCCGGUAGACGAUGGGGAUGCGUCCCAUUAGAUAGUAGGCGGGGUAACGGCCCACCUAGUCAACGAUGGAUAGGGGUUCUGAGAGGAAGGUCCCCCACAUUGGAACUGAGACACGGUCCAAACUCCUACGGGAGGCAGCAGUGAGGAAUAUUGGUCAAUGGGCGAUGGCCUGAACCAGCCAAGUAGCGUGAAGGAUGACUGCCCUAUGGGUUGUAAACUUCUUUUAUAAAGGAAUAAAGUCGGGUAUGCAUACCCGUUUGCAUGUACUUUAUGAAUAAGGAUCGGCUAACUCCGUGCCAGCAGCCGCGGUAAUACGGAGGAUCCGAGCGUUAUCCGGAUUUAUUGGGUUUAAAGGGAGCGUAGAUGGAUGUUUAAGUCAGUUGUGAAAGUUUGCGGCUCAACCGUAAAAUUGCAGUUGAUACUGGAUGUCUUGAGUGCAGUUGAGGCAGGCGGAAUUCGUGGUGUAGCGGUGAAAUGCUUAGAUAUCACGAAGAACUCCGAUUGCGAAGGCAGCCUGCUAAGCU
rnacentral:rRNA from 1 species